rfam:Homo sapiens chromosome 19, GRCh38 reference primary assembly.
GCUGGGUGUGGUGGUGCACACCUGUAGUCCCAGCUACUUGGGAGGCUGAGGCACGAGAAUCACUUGAACCCAGGAGGCGGAGGUUGCAGUGAGCCAAGAUGACACCACUGCAUUCCAGCCUGGGUGACAGAGGGAGAUUGUGUCUCAA